UGUCAUAUUCAUACAAUAGUACUAUACAUGUACAUUGUCUCAGCAGUUCAUCAGAACCUACUGUUGUAUCUACUAUUAUAUUCAGAUUCAUCGCAUGGCACUGAGGAUGAAAGUGAGUGACACAGUGAUCACUAUUGAUGAGAAUGAAGAGCUCUCUGCUGGUAGCAGCGUAAAGACCACUGGUGAGAUACUGGAGUGGAUCAGGCGUAGACUGGAUGGACAACUGGUAGCUAUAGGGUCUGGCCUGUGGGACUAUGGUGACUACUGGUUAAGGGUAUGUGUCACUGGAUAACUUGAAAUCAGCAGUACAUACUGACCAGCCAAAAUUUGUUCCAGUUGUGUUAUACUGUGAGACAGUUUCAGCCAAAAGUUCAAUAAUAUGUUUAUCAAAGUCACCAAACAAGCAUAACAGGUUGUUAAUAAAAUAUUGUCCAUUUCCUAAUAAACUGGCUGAAGUAAUAAUAAGGGUGAUGUUAAUAAUAAAAAGAUCCUAAAGUCAGGGCUCAGUACUGGUAUAAAAAGUAUAAAUGGGAUGUGCCAUAAAGUCUAGGAAGGUUUGGUGCUUUGGUUCGGAAACCACUGGUCCUAUUAUGCUCAUUGAUGUUACCAAAGGAGUGCAGUACCUGAAUGAGAUUAAGGACAAUGUUGUAGCUGGGUUCCAAUGGGCAACAAAAGAGGUACAGUAAUU